rnacentral:lncRNA from 1 species
GCGGAUCGCAAGGGGAAAAGACCCCGGAAGUACGCCAAAGUAUAAAACCUCAGGUUAAAAGGUCAAAACUAGUACUUGUCCUUCAAGUCGCCCACUUGGCCCUCUUCCAGAUCAUAUGAAGUGUGCGUAUGGUACCUAUUGGAGCUAUCUUGAGCCCAUAUAAAGAGUAAGCUUUAGAAUGACGGCGACUCACAGAGAAAGCUAAGAAUCAUCAGAAAAUGAAAAUCGAUACGGCACUGUGUGCUAAUGGGCUGCCCACUCCUUCCUGAAACUACAAACUUGGAGGUCAUGUGUUGAGAUGGCAAGAACAAGAUGGAGGCAACUUGGAUCCUAGAGGAACAAGAUUGAGGAGAAUGUGCCCCUUUCCUCCUACCAGCCCAUGUUUAAUUGGGCAUAAAAAAAGAAAUAUGGAUGGAGACCACAUGAAAAUUGAAGGCAAGAGGAUGUAUGGUGUCUUCAAGAAUACCAAAGAAAUCGGUUUUGAUGUUCAACGUUUCAUGCAAGUUCAAAAAACUUGAUUCUGGUAGCAAAAUUAUAGCAGGAAGAGGAAGCAGGACACCAGAGGCUUUUCUUUUCAUGGUGAGUGUCAAACUGAAGCAUAGCCAUCCGUACUUUUUAAUGGAAUGAACAAGCUGUGCUCUCUAAAAACCAGAAUAACUAUUAAUAUCAUCAUCAGCUAUGGAAAUACAGUGGCAGAAUGUGUUAUGUCCCUAGCAACAAUCCUUUUUCUCCUCAGAACUCACCUUGCUUACAUCAUUUCUCACCUUAAGAAAUCAAUUAAUUCGAAGACUUCCUCCACCUAUCCCACUCUAAGACUUAAGAGUCUAAGAGAUAAACAAUACAAUUUGUUCUCUCAUUUUCUCUACAGAGACCUCCUAUUCAGAAUUGGGUUUGGGCUCUGCCUUGCCUCAGGAAGUUAAUAAAAUUCACUUUUCAU